UUUUGUUGUAGCAAAGCAACGAGGUUAAAAAAGGCUAUUUUGUAAUUUCGAGUAUUCUUGGAGUGUAUUAUUGGUAUUUUCAGAGGAUUAAAGACUUUAAAGUUAAUUUGUUUUGGUGCUGGAAAUCCAUGGAGGCCGAAGGAGAAAGACAGUGGAGUUCUCUCAUAGUACCUUGUGUUCUAGAGAUGGUUAAAGAGCAAAACUUGACGACCGUUCCUCCGAGGUAUGUUCGGUCUGAUCAAGAAACAUCUGAGAAUUUAGAUGAUUCUAGUAUGAGUUCCGAGAUUCCAGUCAUCGACAUGAAACGCUUGUAUUCUGUUUCCACCAUGGAUUCCGAGCUCGAGAAACUCGAUUUCGCUUGCCAAGAUUGGGGAUUUUUUCAACUUGUAAACCAUGGAAUAGAUUCGUCUUUCUUGGACAAACUGGAGACCGAGGUUCAAGAUUUCUUUAACCUCCCCAUGGAAGAGAAGCAGAAGUUUUGGCAGAGAAGUGGUGAAUUCGAAGGAUUCGGACAAGUGAAUGUUGUGUCCGAGGAUCAGAAACUGGACUGGGGAGAUAUGUUCAUCCUCACCACUGAACCAAUUCGAUCUCGCAAAUCUCACUUGUUCUCCAAAUUACCUCCUUCUUUCAGAGAAACUGUAGAGACUUACUCCUCUGAAGUGAAGAGCAUAGCUAAGAUCCUCUUUGCGAAAAUGGCGAGUGUUCUUGAGAUCAAACGCGAAGAAAUGGAAGAUCUGUUUGAAGAUGUUUGGCAAUCUAUCAAGAUUAAUUACUAUCCGCCAUGUCCACAGCCAGAUCAAGUUGUCGGUUUGACUCCACAUUCAGACGCCGCAGGUCUCACAAUACUAUUACAGGUGAAUCAAGUGGAAGGACUCCAGAUCAAGAAAGACGGCAAGUGGGUUGUUGUGAAACCUCUUCGAAAUGCUUUAGUUGUUAAUGUUGGGGAAAUCUUAGAGAUCAUAACAAACGGGAGGUAUCGAAGCAUCGAGCAUAGAGUGGUGGUGAAUUCAGAGAAGGAGAGGUUAUCGGUUGCGAUGUUUCAUAGUCCGGGAAAGGAGACAAUCAUUGGUCCAGCGAAAAGCCUUGUAGAAAAGCAGAAGCAACGUUUAUUCAAAAGUAUGAGCACACAAGACUACUUUGAUGCCUUCUUUGCUCAGAAGCUCAAUGGCAAAUCUCACCUUCAUCUUAUGACUAUUUAAGGACUGGACCCUCAUAAACUCCAUGUUUCCAGCAAUACAUAGGUUCUUUUUAAAUGAAAGUUAAAUUUGACUUAUAACGUCAAUCCAAAAGGAGGGUCAUUGGCUGUUUAGUGUAGUGUUGGGUGGACGCGAAGCAGCAGAUUAUAGCAUUUCUCUCUUCCCCACAAACUCAACCAGUAAACCACCGGAAGAAGAUACCAACCGUUAUUGUAAACAGCCGUCGGAGAAGCACAAAAUACGCGAAACGCGAGGCAAACAAGAGAAGUCGAAGGAUCAAUUCAUCACGUCUCUUUUAGCUAAUCGAUGGGUUUUUGUUGGUGACAAAGGGAUUUCUCUGUUUCUCGGUGUUUUCUGGGUUUUAAGGGUUUCGUUUACAAGUCGAGCUUUUUGGAGGAGAGUAAUGGCGGGUGUUUCUGCAAUCGAGAUGAAUAAAUACUCUCUGUUGAAGGAUUUUAAUGUUGAUGUUGAAGUAGAAGACGAAGAGUACGAGACUUUCUCUCUUU